rnacentral:rRNA from 1 species
AUUGAACGCUGGCGGAAUGCUUUACACAUGCAAGUCGAACGGCAGCACGGACUUCGGUCUGGUGGCGAGUGGCGAACGGGUGAGUAAUGUAUCGGAACGUGCCCAGUCGUGGGGGAUAACGUAGUGAAAAUUACGCUAAUACCGCAUACGAUCUAUGGAUGAAAGCGGGGGAUCGCAAGACCUCGCGCGAUUGGAGCGGCCGAUAUCAGAUUAGGUAGUUGGUGGGGUAAAGGCCCACCAAGCCAACGAUCUGUAGCUGGUCUGAGAGGACGACCAGCCACACUGGAACUGAGACCCGGUCCAGACUCCUACGGGAGGCAGCAGUGGGGAAUUUUGGACAAUGGGCGAAAGCCUGAUCCAGCCAUUCCGCGUGCAGGAUGAAGGCCCUCGGGUCGUAAACUGCUUUUGUACAGAACGAAAAGGUUUCUACUAAUACUAGGAGCUCAUGACGGUACUGUAAGAAUAAGCACCGGCUAACUACGUGCCAUCCGCCGCGGUAA